AACGAACGCUGGCGGCGGGCCUCAUACAUGCAAGUCGAGCGCGAAAGUCCGCAAGGAUGAGUAAAGCGGCGCACGGGUGAGUAACACGUGGAUAAUCUACCCUUUGGAUUGGAAUAACCUGUCGAAAGACGGGCUAAUGCCAAGUAAGCUCUCGGAAAUGUGAUGUUUCUGCGAGGAAGAUGGUGCAAGCUAUCGCCGAAGGAUGAGUCUGCGUCCCAUUAGCUAGUUGGUGGGGUAAAAGCUUACCAAGGCAAUGAUGGGUACCUGGUCUGAGAGGAUGACCAGGCACGCUGGAACUGAAACACGGU
rnacentral:rRNA from 1 species